AAAAUUUUAAAUUUUUUUGCAAAAAAAAAUAGAUAAAAUUAUUUGAUUAGAAAAAAGUAAAGUAAAUCCAUGAGCAAACUCUGGCUUCUAUGCUUAGUGAUUAAGUUAGCAGCGAUAAGUGUCAGCUUCACCGAGGCUGCUAAGAUAUGCACGUCAGUCAAAGAUUGUGGUGCCAAUGAAUGUUGCGGAAAGGAUUUAUUCGUAGACAUAUCAAAUAAUAUAAAUUACUGUCAGCCCAAAUUGGCAUUCGAUGAAAUCUGUCAAAUCUCAAAAACAAAUACCCCCGGGUGUCCCUGUAUGGUUGGUCUUCAUUGCAAGAGAAUUGUACAAGCUACGACUAUUGGUAGAUGUAGCCAGAUAACGUGAUUUUAGCCACCAUUUUUUUUAUUCCAUUUCAUCAACAACAUUAUUCUUUUAUUUUUAAUUAUUUAUUUUAGAAUAUAUUAUAAAUAAAUUCAAUCAAGUUUA